UUAAUAACCUCGGUUCCUAUUGCACCUUUCUUUAAUUUCCGAGGAUUUUAUCUUUGGAACCUAUUGGUCUACCACGUAUAUUACGUGUGUUAGACUCUGUAGCAAUUUGAUUGUGUUCCUUGUGAACAUCAAUACGUACUGGUGCAUUACAAGCUGGUAUGUACGCUUAUAUAACUCUCUUUGGGUCAUCAAAAGAAUCUGGCAAUUCAUUAGCUAGCUUUUCAAAUGUAUAAUCUUAUGGACCUCUGAUUCUCAUGCCAGAGUCCGAGGAUCUUGCCAAUUUAAGGAUGUUUGAUUCCAUGAUAUUUCUUUGAUAUCUUUACCCAGCUUGUUCGUCUCUCCACCUAAAGUAGGAAAUUCGGAUUCAUUAAAAUGACAAUCCGCGUAUCUAGCCUUAAAUAGAUCACCCGUAGUUGGCUCUAGAUACUUAAUAAUGGUGGGAGAAUCAAAUCCAACAUAUAUUCCCAUCCUCCUUUGAGGUCCCAUCUUUGUUCUAUGUGGUGGUGCAAUCGGUAUAUAUACGGCACACCCGAAAGUCUUUAGAUGGGAUAUGUCUGGCUCAUGACCCAUGAGUAAUUGGGAUGGUGAAUAUCUAUGUUCACUAGAUGGCCUUAUGCGUAUGAGUUCUGAAGAAUGUAAAACAGCGUGUCCCCAAGCGGCUACUGGAAGCUUCGACCUCAUGAGUAAUGGUCGAGCUAUCAAUUGAAUUCGUUUAAUGAAGGAUUCCGCUAAUCCAUUCUGUGUAUGUACAUGUGCUACGGGAUGUUUCACACUUACCCCCAUGGACAUACAGUAGUCAUUAAACGCUUGGGACGUGAAUUCACCGGCAUUGUCUAGACGUAUAGUCUUAAGCGGAAAAUCUGGAAAAUGGGCUCGCAGUCUUAUUAUCUGGGCCAAUAACCUAGCAAACGCUUGGUUUCUAGGAGAUAGGAGACAAACAUGCGACCAUCUUGUCGAUGCGUCAAUGAGGACCAUAAAGUAUCUAAACGUCCCACAUGGUGGGUGUAUUGGUCCACAUAUAUCUCCUUGUAUCCUUUCCAGAAAAUUUAAGGUCUCUUUAUUUACCUUAGCCGGUGAUGGCCUUAUAAUGAGUUUCCCUUGUGAACAUGCUUCACACGUGAGAUUCUUAGGGAUAACUCUUUUCUCUCUUAGGGUGUGCCCCUUUGAAUUAGUCAUUAAUUUACGCAUCAUAUUCUGACCCGGAUGGCCAAGCCGGUCAUGCCAUAAAGUGAAUUUCUCGAUGAACUCUUUGUUCAUUGCCAUAUUAGCUUCGAUCAUAUCGAUUUUUUUAGCAUAGUAGAGACCAGUGGAUAAUGCGGGUAUAGUCUCUAGGACUUUCUUAUGUCCUUUGGUGAUCUCAAUUAUAUUUAGGAAUUCUUUGUUCCCUUCACCCUUUGUUUCAAUAUGGAAACCAUCCAAUCUUAUAUAAACUCAAUAAGCUCCUUUUUGAGCUGGGUGAAUACAAGGCAUCGCUUAGUUCAAGAUGCGUGCCCUUUGAUAAAAGUAUAUGGGCUUGACCGUGGCCCUCAAUAAGACUAGCUAUACCCGCUAUGGUGCUAAUAUUGGCAUUUUUCAUUAUGAGAUUUAGAAAGUAUCUCUUGUCUUUUGUGUGGCUCCACUAUCCACCACAAAUAUGUUCUUGUCCUCGGCCAUUUCUUAUAUGGACAAGAAUCAUGUUCUGAAUAUAAAAUAAUAUAAAAUAAAUUCAAGCAAAUAACAAUCAAUGAACACAUAAAAUGCAAAGAAUAACAUAGAGGUUUUGAUGUCGAAGUAAGAUUUAUUAACUUGAUUCUUUUAUGCAAUCAGAAGUUUCAUACUCUAUUAGAUCAUCUUGAUCAUGUUCACCAUCUUUAUAUACCAAAUGGGCUUUAGGAUCCUUCCCUUUUACACUCUCUUGAUAGAGGUCACAACGAUGUUUGGAAGUCCUACAUAUCUUAGCCCAAUGGUUUCCCAUUCCAUAUCUAUGGCAUACUCAUUUGGUCGAGUGUUGUGGUUUGGAAAUACCACAUCGUCCUCGCCCUCGACCACGGCCGGAAUUGGGUCUACAUCCACGGUUAUAGUGGUUCCCACGGCCGGAUGAGUUAUAGUGGCCACAACCACGUCCUUUCAAUACCACAUCUAUGACAUACUCAUUUGGUCGAGUGUUGUGGUUUGGAAAUACCACAUCGUCCUCGCCCUCGACCACGGCCGGAAUUGGGUCUACAUCCACGGUUAUAGUGGUUCCCACGGCCGGAUGAGUUAUAGUGGCCACAACCACGUCCUUUCAAUACCACAUCUAUGACAUACUCAUUUGGUCGAGUGUUGUGGUUUGGAAAUACCACAUCGUCCUCGCCCUCGACCACGGCCGGAAUUGGGUCUACAUCCACGGUUAUAGUGGUUCCCACGGCCGGAUGAGUUACAGUGGCCACAACCACGUCCUUUCCAUCCACCACGGUCACGGCCGUGUGGUCUAUCACUUUAGACGUGGUUAGAUUCUUUGGAUUCUUUCUUAUCCUCUGCG
rnacentral:rRNA from 1 species